GCAUAUCAAUAAGCGGAGGAAAAGAAACCAACAGGGAUUGCCUUAGUAGCGGCGAGUGAAGCGGCAAAAGCUCAAAUUUGAAAUCUGGUACUUUCAGUGCCCGAGUUGUAAUUUGAAGAAGGUAUCUUUGGGCCUGGCUCUUGUCUAUGUUCCUUGGAACAGGACGUCACAGAGGGUGAGAAUCCCGUGCGAUGAGAUGCUCCAGGUCUAUGUAAAGUUCCUUCGAAGAGUCGAGUUGUUUGGGAAUGCAGCUCUAAGUGGGUGGUAAAUUCCAUCUAAAGCUAAAUAUUGGCGAGAGACCGAUAGCGAACAAGUACAGUGAUGGAAAGAUGAAAAGAACUUUGAAAAGAGAGUGAAAAAGUACGUGAAAUUGUUGAAAGGGAAGGGCUUGAGAUCAGACUUGGUAUUUUGUAUGUUAUUCUCUCGGGGAUGGCCUCUACAGUUUAUCGGGCCAGCAUCGGUUUGAACGGUAGGAUAAUGGCAAAGAAAUGUGGCUUCAUUCGUGUUGUGUUAUAGUCUUUGUUGAUACUGCCAGUUUAGACCGAGGACUGCGAUUUUAUCUAGGAUGUUGGCAUAAUGAUCUUAAGUCGCCCGUCUUGAAACACGGACCAAGGAGUCUAACGUCUAUGCGAGUGUUUGGGUGUAAAACCCGUACGCGUAAUGAAAGUGAACGUAGGUAGGACCUCUUUUUGAGUGCACUAUCGACCGAUCCUGAUGUCUUCGGAUGGAUUUGAGUAUGAGCAUAGCUGUUGGGACCCGAAAGAUGGUGAACUAUGCCUGAAUAGGGUGAAGCCAGAGGAAACUCUGGUGGAGGCUCGUAGCGGUUCUGACGUGCAAAUCGAUCGUCGAAUUUUGGGUAUAGGGGCGAAAGACUAA
rnacentral:rRNA from 1 species